GCGGGAGUGGCGUAACGGCAGCCGCGCCAGGUUUAGGUCCUGGUGUCCGAGAGGACGUGGGGGUUCGAGUCCCCCCUCCCGCACCA
rnacentral:tRNA from 1 species